rnacentral:rRNA from 1 species
AUUGAACGCUGGCGGCAGGCCUAACACAUGCAAGUCGAACGCGUGGCGGACGGGUGAGCAAUGUCUGGGACACUGCCUGAUGGAGGGGGAUAACUACUGGAAACGGUAGCUACUACCGCAUACCAUCCGAUUUGACCAGGUUGGAUUAGCUUGGUGGUGGGGUAACGGCUCACCAAGGCGACGAUCCAUAGCUGGUCUGAGAGGAUGACCAGCCACACUGGAACUGAGACACGGUCCAGACUCCUACGGGAGGCAGCAGUGGGGAAUAUUGCACAAUGGGCGCAAGCCUGAUGCAGCAAUGCCGCGUGUAUGAAGAAGGCCUUCGGGUUGUAAAGUACUGUCAGCGGGGAGGCGUUACCCGCAGAAGAAGCACCGGCUAACUCCGUGCCAGCAGCCGCGGUAAUAC